AUUAAUAGUCCCUGUUCCAGUAUUUAGAUUAGUAACAGUUCAUGUGACAUGCCAUCCUACUUACUGCAUGUCUCAUGCUAUAAUCUUCUGAAGGGUAUGUGUCUCGUAUUUUUUCCCAGUCUGACCAAGUUCUAAAGAAGCAGAAUGUUCAUCAUCGUCGUAGGAAACUUAGGCACUUCCUUUUGAGAUCCUUAAAGUGGUUCCUGAAAAACUAGUAAGUCCAUGCAGUCUAUUUUUCCGGCGACAGGAAAAAAGCCGUGGAUGGUUCUGAAUAAAAGCCUUGAUCACUUGAUAAUUUUACCUGGUGAAGUCUGAUGAAGGAACUAUGGUGCUGAUACACUAUUUGAUAUAUACUGAGCUUUCCAUUAUUUCUCCAUGAAAGCUGAAGUAACAUUUUAUUAUCGUAUGCCUUUUUCGUUAAAAAUUGACCUGAAAAUGAGCUAUACUGAAUUUCUGUGCCAUCGGUCAUCAAUCAGGUGAUUGCGCCAUGGGCCCAUUUUUGCAUUCCUGAUCUCUAAUUGGCUAGAAAAAUUAAAGGCAUGUGGAAUUUGGUGUACAUCAUUUGUUCAUUUAGUAAUUAAUUUUUAUUUCUAUUAUGCUGCUGACCCCAUAAGUUAAUAAAUGGUGUGGAUGGAAAUAUAUGUGAUGUGGGGUAGAUAAAGUUAUGGAGUGAUUUUUAUGCUUGCUAGUUUUUAGUAUAUGUCUGCUAAUAUACCUAGCAUAUCCAGGACAACUAUUUGAGUGUGGCAUCGUUGUUUCUUCCACAGAAUACCUCCAAGAUCCUUAUGACAAUAUCUUAUGGACUGCUUGGAAAUUCCAUCAGAUUCUGUUUUCUCAAAUGUAAUAGGUGGAGAAGAAAUCAGAUGAGAGUCCGCCAAGUAGAGCAAGGAAGAAAGAAGUUCCCAUAAAGUUUGUAACUAUGUUGGCUGAAGCAGAUGGAGAAAAAUUCAUGAACUUCGAUAAAUAAAGGACUAGAUUGCUCGCAUUUGCCAGACCAGGGAGGGAAUGGAGCAGGAAGCAGUGCCAGGCAUGCCUGAGACAUUUCCAGAUGUGAUGGUGGAAGUUCCAAAAAUCUUAAGAUACGUACUUUGUCAUGUCAUUCUAGUGAUGUUUUUAUCUAUUGCUAUUUCUGUAUUAAUAUUGGUGUCCGGAUAAGCUUGCGUGCACCUCGACUAAUUCCAUGGUACCUGUUUCUUCCUAUAUUUAGUUAUGUCAAAAAACAGUUAUUAGAAGUGUUUAGCUUAGGUUCCAGUUUUAGUUUUUCUAUUGCAGUGUCUUAGUGUCACAAACUUGAGCAUUAACCUGUAAGCAGCCUCCUAAAAUGUGCACAAAGAGCAUCUUUAGAUUCAGGUAUCCACUGUAUCACUAUUGCAUCUGCUUUUCCAAAACCUUGUGUUGGGUGCUUUGAGCACUGCUGCUAUUUUCUAGAUCAGACCUGUAAGAACUUAAUAACUUCAGCACAUCUGAAUGUUAUUUUGCAUUACCACAGCAGAAAGUUUGAUACUAGACCGGUAAUGAUUGAUGGAUGUGGUUUUAUUUUUUGUCUAUCAAAUUGAAGUGUUACGAUUAGGUUCUGGUUUCAUGACGUGGAUUGCAAAUUUACAAGGCAUUAUUAGUCAUAUAUGGAAUGUUGAAGCUUCUGGAAAGGUUGAAGUUUGUGAAAUUACUGUUAGGUUUCGCAACUGUGUUUCUCUCUCUUGUUUUUUGGAAAUUCCUCCUGUAUUACUUGGUCUUUUCUUUUUUCAUCUUCUGUGUUCUGGUAAUAAUCUCCUAUAAAACAUGUGCACAAAUUCAUCAUUAUCUGAAGUCAGUUAGCUCUGUAUCAAGAUGCCUGUUCACAUCCACCAUCCCUUUAUUUUGGUUGACUUCAGAUGUUCAACAUCCUUCUUAUGCUCAACUAAAGGAGUUGGAAAGCCUUAAUUAAAGACAUGUCUGGUUAUGCAAAGUUAAGAAUGCAUCUUUUAAGUGUCUGGAAUCUGGAAUCUUAUCAAUACCCCAGGUUAUGAUAAACAGAUCAUGCUUCAACUAACCUUAGGCCAAAAGUAGUAAAAAUAAUAACUAUGUUUGAUGCCUAAUGCUAUUCCUAUUGGGACCUUAUCCGAGUAUGUCGUGAUCAAUCUGAAAGCCCUCAUUUUGGCCAGGAAAUCUACUAGUUAAGAAAUUGGUGUAUUUGGUUUAAAAUUUCCUCCUCCUUACUUUCCGUGGCUCACAGAAGUGCAUCUUUUUAUCUUUGUUUAAACUUCAUGUUAUUGCAUGGCUUAACUUUUUUUUUCUGAUUCCUUGAUUGUUUACUUCGUUAUCUUGGGAAAUUUCAAGAAAAAAGCCAUUAGCCACAUAGUUUUUAAGACUAUUGUGGUGUGCCAGUCAUAUUUGUCCUCUAUAGAAAGCCGGUGAAUUGGAGUGGGAUGUGAAGUUAAUCCAAUUGUACUCUUUUAUUACAGAGACAGGAAGUGUUUGCUAUGAAAAGGACAUGGAGAGGAAAAGGCUUACCUGAUUGGUUGCUUGGUGUCAGCACAUGUGCCCUUUUCCUUCUGAAAGAGGGAAUUGUAGUGGACUAGUGGUGCUAUCUUGAAAGGUAAGUCGACCAUUUGAAUGCCUUAUCUGGAACGUGUCAGAUAUAUUUUUCUAAAACAAAACUAAAUCAGUUUAUAGCUACACCACAAUCUAAAAUAUUACUCCAGCUUGGUGUAGAUUUCAGCAAAUGAUUCAUAUACCAACAAAGUGUUCAGCAAAAUUGGUUCCAAAAUACUAUUGAUAUGCAUGCCUAGUAUGAACAAGUUAGAUGCUUUGCUCAAUUGUGGUCAUUCUUUUUACCUUACUGGCCCGAGAGGCACAGCUAGGUCACCAUUAAUUUAUUAUCGAUUCUUCUUGAAAGUUUUUUAGGUAUAGAAAUGAUUAGGAACAGUCCCAUUCUGAAGAACAUCAAAGUACUAGGGAGAGCUUGAAUGUUACCCCCUAUAAUUAAUGACAUAGAAUGUACAAGUUCUCAAUUAUUUGUCAGGACUGUUUUACUCUUCCAUCAAGGAUUAUGUUGGGAUAGAUAGGAUUUCUCCAAACUUAAUCAGAGAUCUCGAGUUCAAGCUCCAUGUAUUUUAAAAAAAAAAAAGGACUGCUCGGAAACACUUCUCACUUUAAUGGGUGUUACACGAUGCAAAUUCAAAUUAGUCUAGGCUCCAAUGUAGGUACUGAAUACCGACUAAGGAAACGCAGAAAAGACAGUUGCACUUUCUUGAGAAUGUUGGUAGGAAUGUGUUCAAAUCAGACCAUUUCAUUAUAUGAGCGAGCAUACUGUUUAUUGAAGUUGAAAAGACACUAAAUUAAGGAAUCUGUAUGGUAGGUAACUUGCUAAAAAUAUCUCCAGUACACACUCAUUUGAUAGUUUUAAAGGUCCUUCUGACCUUUAUGAGACGCAAAGUGCUAAUUGAUCGUACCGACUGUGAAUGGUACCAACAAACUUGAGGGGUCUCAACCACAAACUAACUUAUUGUGCUAACACUAUAGAGUAGUACAUUAUUACCGAACUUGUGUUUUAUUCACCUUCUUUUGGUUUGGUAUAUGAUCCAUCCUAUAAGGUCUUUGGGACAAUUUAGAGUGGCCUUUUUAUGAAGCAAAUUGCUUCAUACUAGGCUGUCUUAUUUGCUGAUUAGGUCAUCACUUCUUAACUACACAAGUUUUGCAUCUUCCUGCCAAACAAUGAAUCAUAUCGCAAUCGAGACUUUAUUGUUACUAAAUCAUAAUGGGAUGCAUGGUAGUGCCUAAUUUUUACCUUGGUUGUGACAUCAUUGGUGAAAGAAAAACAAAAGGUCAUAAAAUUGCAUAAUUUUUACCACAUUCGUCACUUUUUGGCUAUGAACUAGAUGGUCUCUAUUGUCCACAUUUAUAAAGAGUCUAAUUAGAUAGCUGAUAAUUUAGCCAAUUUGGUUAUUUAAGAAUUUUGCUUUGACUGAUAUUCACAUGUGUCUACUUUUGGGGUCUCAUCCCCCCACCCCCUCUCUAGUUUCAGACUAAUUUCUUAUUGUUUUUAAUUCUGAUAUUAUCAAAAAUGUAUCUAAAUUUAUCUAUUAUUGUUUAGUUUCACACUUAAAUUAUUCGUUAUAACUUAUAAGUGUUGGAAACAUAUCUCAAUGUUGACUAAAUCAAUUUUGGACAAA